rnacentral:rRNA from 1 species
UACGUAGGGUGCAAGCGUUGUCCGGAAUUAUUGGGCGUAAAGAGCUCGUAGGCGGUCUGUCACGUCGGAUGUGAAAAUCCAGGGCUCAACCCUGGACCUGCAUUCGAUACGGGCAGACUAGAAUUCGGUAGGGGAGACUGGAAUUCCUGGUGUAGCGGUGAAAUGCGCAGAUAUCAGGAGGAACACCGGUGGCGAAGGCGGAUCUCUGGGCCUUACCUGACGCUGAGGCGCGAAAGCUAGGGGAGCGAACAGG